rnacentral:rRNA from 1 species
AUUGAACGCUGACGGCAGGCCUAACACAUGCAAGUCGGGCGAGAGGCGGACGGGUGAGUAAUCUAUGAGGAUAUGCCUGGAGGCGGGGGAAAACUAAUGGAAACGGUCGCUUAUAGCGUAAUCUAACAGAUGAACCGAUAGGGGAUUAGCUUGUAGGUGAGGUAAGGGCUAACCUAGGAGACGAGCCCUAGCUGGUCUGAGAGGAUGAUCAGCCACACUGGGACUGAGACACGGCCCAUACUCCUACGGGAGGCAGCAGUGGGGAAUAUUGCACAAUGGGCGCAAGCCUGAUGCAGCCAUGCCGCGUGUAUGAAGAAGGCCUUCGGGUUGUAAAGUACUUUCAGUCGGGAGGCGUUACCGACAGAAGAAGCACCGGCUAACUCCGUGCCAGCAGCCGCGGUAAUUC